rnacentral:rRNA from 1 species
AGUGAACGCUGGCGGUAGGCCUAACACAUGCAAGUCGAACGGCAGCACAGUAAGAGCUUGCUCUUACGGGUGGCGAGUGGCGGACGGGUGAGGAAUACAUCGGAAUCUACUUUUUCGUGGGGGAUAACGUAGGGAAACUUACGCUAAUACCGCAUACGACCUACGGGUGAAAGCAGGGGAUCUUCGGACCUUGCGCGAUUGAAUGAGCCGAUGUCGGAUUAGCUAGUUGGCGGGGUAAAGGCCCACCAAGGCGACGAUCCGUAGCUGGUCUGCGAGGAUGAGCGGCCAAACUGGAACUGGGACACGGUCCAGACUCCUACGGGAGGCAGCAGUGGGGAAUAUUGGACAAAGGGCGCAAGCCUGAUCCAGCCAUACCGCGUGGGUGAAGAAGGCCUUCGGGUUGUAAAGCCCUUUUGUUGGGAAAGAAAAGCAGCAGGUUAAUACCCCGCUGUUCUGACGGUACCCAAAGAAUAAGCACCGGCUAACUUCGUG